UGAAACCAAAACUGAAAACCAUAAGCACGAAGCUUAGUGAGCUCCCCCAAUCUACCACAUACCAUACAAUAACAUAUAAAGCACAUACUGGGCCUUGCCCACUGCAUCGGACCGAAGUCCGGGCUAACUGGGGCCUUGCCCCCUACAUCGGACCGAAGUCUGGACUAACUGGGACCUUGUCCCCUGCAUCGGACCGAAGUCCGGACUAACUGAGACCUUGUCCCCUGCAUCGGACCAACGUCCGGGCUAACUGGGGCCUUACCCCCUGCAUCGGACCGAAGUCCGGACUAACUGGGACCUUGUCCCCUGCAUCAGACCGAAGUCCGGGCUAACCGGGGCCUUGCCCCCUGCAUCAGACCGAAGUCCGGACUAACUGGGACCUUGUCCCCUGCAUCGGACCGAAGUCCGGGCUAACUGAACAGAACAUAGCAUAAACAUAUCAACUAGCAUGAACACACAUAUACUGCAUACUACAUCGGGCCGUGGCCCGGAACACAUAACACAUAAUUCCUGUUUGAGCCACGAAGGCAUCAAACAUACUAAAUACUACAUCAGAUAAAAAUACGGAAACUGCUACUAGCUAAACGGGUCGGCGUUGUGGCCUUAGACCCGUUCCUACUGGAAGGAAACUCACCUGAGACUGCUGAACUGAUGCUGCUAAUCCUUUGACUGCUACUUGACCUCUGACUCCGAACUGCUGCUCCACUAGCUCCUCGAGCUACCAAUGCCAAAAUAACACUUAGUCCAACUGACCUCCAAAGGUCAACUAGGUCAACUCUAGUCAAGGUCAAAAUCCUGGUCAAAGUCAACCUUCCAGGUCAACCCUACUCGCCGAGUCCACCUAAUAACUCGCCGAGUUCAUAUGCUCAGGGUCCUUCUAUUCGCGACUCGACUCGCCGAGUCAACUAUUCCCGAGUCCUGACCUGUCCAACUCACCGAGUCCUUGCUCGACUCGCCGACUCGAGUCUUAACUCGAAGGGUUUGGGACUACGCGAACUGAUUCACUAAGUCUAAGAACAGACUCGCCGAGCAUAAGGCAAUCUUCAACCAACUCGCCGAGUUGUUCAUCCAACUCGUCGAGUUCAUGCCCAUCUUCAACCGACUCGACGAGCUGUUCAUCCCACUCGUCGAGUUCCUCCUCAUCUUCAAGCUACUCGCCGAGUCCACUCGAAGGACUCGUCGAGUCCACUAAGAUCCACUUACAUGCAGAGGACUUCCGAGUCAUGCAUGAGCUCCA
rnacentral:lncRNA from 1 species